GGGAGGUAGCUCAGUGGUAGAGCACAUGCAAUGAAGCCCUGGGUUCAAUUCCCAUCACUCCUA
rnacentral:tRNA from 1 species